AUGUUUUCUGAGUGAUUUGGUUAUUGCCUCUAUAUCUGCAGUUUGAUGGGCUCUUUUGCUUUUAUGUAGUAUUUAGCUAAAGUUGGAGAAAAUCUGCAGAGAGCACUACAUACUUCCUUUUUUUUCUUUUUAUUUAACUGCAGACACAGAAUUUAAAACACAGGAAGUUCUGCUUCCUCGACAGCUGCAUUCAAAAGCAGUGCAUUUCUUUCUGUUUCUGACCUGAGUCUGGCCCGUAGGCUACCUCCUGAAGUUGAGAGUGUUUCUGCCUCUGGUGAAGCCUUGUGUUAGCUUUCACACACAUGAUGUUAAGGGGUGAAUUGUCCUUUCUUAUUUUUUCUCAUUUCUCUUACUGCUAUUUUGAAAACUCCUCUAGAGUAUGGGCGAAGAAAGUAAAAGUGAAACUCAGCACAUUUUUAAAAAAUUAGUCAUUGUAUUUUUCAAAGGAAAGUUGCUGAAAGAGAAACCAAGGGAAUCUACAGAUUAGAACAAGAUCUAGGGGUCCUAAAGUUUUCAACCGAAACGUGUUUUUUUCCUUCUUUCUUUUCCAAAAUUGUUGUGCCUAUUUGAACCUGGAUAGCGACAGCUAAAAAUGGCCUGAAUCUGUCACGGAGAGACCCUAGGCUUCUCCUCAGAGCAGCAACGACCGGGAGGACUCUGUGGUGGAAACACUCUGCCCCGCUCUGUCCGUUGCGGUCGCCAUUCAGGCGAGUGUGGCUUUGAGCACUUGACAUAUGCAUCAUUCAGCCACCAAAUCUAUCUGUAAGUCUGGGGAAAGGAGCCACAGAGGAAGACUGUGGGGAGAUGAGAGUCAUGACGAGAAAAACCACUUGUUGUUCUAACCACUUCUCCCAGGAGGAGACUGUGACCCAGGGAGUUUCUCUGGGAGCUUUGCCAUUGAAACCUCUGUACAUCCCCUGGCAACAGACGAUUUGCUGCACUGCUGAAAGGAGCAGACAGGGGCUGGGCGCGGGGAGUGCCGAAGCUCACAAAGGAACUGUCCUCUUAAAUAACAAGCCCACUGCUCGCCAAGGCUGCUGGAGCGCUUUCAUUCAACAGGGGUCUGGAGCAACCACCUCUCUGCCUGGCAUAUAAAUCUCUGUGGGCUUUCUUCCUUCUAGGUUUUUUCCUCUUUUGGGUGUGGAUGGGUUCUACUGUCUGUUGCUUUGCUUUUUUUUUAGUUGAGAAAAAUCUGAUUAAAGAACUGAUGAUUUCAUCUUCAGGUCUCCUGUGUGUUAUGUGAAGUGACACAGUGUUCUUUAUUUCCACACUAAACACAUUAAAAGGUAACUGUAGAAUUUUUAUAUUUGUGCUUCGUGUGCAUUAUACUCGUAGAUGCAACUUUUGUACAGAAAGGCAAGAAAACAGGACGCAUCAUGAAAGGUUUAAAGUGGGAAGUAAAAUUAAUUUACUUCAUAGUACAUGGACUUACAUCAUAUUAUAUAUACUUUUGAAGUUCAGGGAACCUACUAAAGGGGAAGGAGUUUAAUGUUUUCGUGUGGAAUUCUGUCUCUGCCCUGUCGUGGUAUAUUUGGGGUUAAUAUGUGUCCUUUCCAUCUUAAUGUAUGUAAACUUCAUUCUAAAGCUUUGUAAGUAAAUAUCUGAAGGUUUCCAGGUUAUUCUAAGCAAAGUUUGUCAAAACAGAGCACCUGAAAAGGUCCACCCCCUCAUUUAUUGACAAAAUAUCUUAUUUCAGGACUUUGUUUUCAGUAGACAAGUUGCUCAUUGGUGGCUUUUUCCACAUUUUUUGACAUUUUUGAGUGGCAUUGUGACAGCAGUAUAUCGGAGCAGCGUAGGGGCAAAUACAUAAAAUGCAGGCGUACUGACUUUGUAUGAGUUUGCAUUUAUUAGGCCUGGUCAUGUAUGCCAAUUCACAGGCAUAUCUGAGUAUAUGAAAACAAAUAAUCCUAAUAAAAUUGUUACGAUAAAUAUAUAAACAGUACAAAAAAGAUGGGAUGAAAGAAAGGCAGUUCUAAGAAAGAAGUUUAUAACCAUAAACACCUGUACUAAGGAAAAAAAUAACUCAACCAAACUUACUUUACACCUGAAAGAAUUAGAAGAAAAAACUAAGCCCUAAGUUAGUAGAAGGGAAAUAACAAAGAUCAGAGCAAAACUAAAUGAAAUAGAGACCAAAAAAAAAAAAAAAAA